AAGUGCCACGCGUGCAUGCCGGUGUUGAGCGGGCCGUCCGUACUCACCGGCGAGUGUUCGCUACGUUUUGUUAGCC
rnacentral:sRNA from 1 species